AUUGAACGCUGGCGGCAGGCCUAACACAUGCAAGUCGAACGAGUGGCGGACGGGUGAGUAAUGUCUGGGAAACUGCCUGAUGGAGGGGGAUAACUACUUGAAACGGUAGCUAAUACCGCAUACCAUCGGAUGAGCCCAGAUGGGAUGAGCUAGUAGGUGGGGUAACGGCUCACCUAGGCGACGACCCCUAGCUGGUCUGAGAGGAUGACCAGCCACAAUGGAACUGAGACACGGCCCAGACUCCUACGGGAGGCAGCAGUGGGGAAUAUUGCACAAUGGGCGCAAGCCUGAUGCAGCCAUGCCGCGUGAAUGAAGAAGGCCUUCGGGUUGUAAAGUACUUUCAGCGGGGAGGCGUUACCCGCAGAAGAAGCACCGGCUAACUCCGUGCCAGCAGCCGCGGUAAUAC
rnacentral:rRNA from 1 species